rnacentral:rRNA from 1 species
AACGAACGCUGGCGGCAUGCCUAACACAUGCAAGUCGAACGGGAUCCUAGCUUGCUAGGUGAGAGUGGCGGACGGGUGAGUAACACGUGGGAAUCUGCCUUUUGGUUCGGGAUAACCGCGGGAAACUGCGGCUAAUACCGAAUGCCCUCGAGAGAGGAAAGAUUUAUCGCCAGAAGAGGAGCCCGCGUCCGAUUAGGUAGUUGGUGGGGUAAAGGCCUACCAAGCCGACGAUCGGUAGCUGGUCUGAGAGGAUGAUCAGCCACACUGGGACUGAGAUACGGCCCAGACUCCUACGGGAGGCAGCAGUGGGGAAUAUUGGGACAAUGGGGGCGACCCUGAUCCAGCAAUGCCGCGUGAGUGAUGAAGGCCUUAGGGUUGUAAAGCUCUUUUGCCAGGGAAGAUGAUGACUGUACCUGGAGAAUAAGCCCCGGCUAACUUCGUGCCAGCAGCCGCGGUAAU